GCACUGCCCCCCUGCUGCCUCCUCUGUUCUGCAUCUCCUCAGCCGAGGAUAUAAAGACGCUUGUUUCUGUUCCUUUGAGUUACCGCUGGUUUCACACCAUCACCUGUAACACAACUCAGCUGACAGCUCGUCACACUGUCCACGAUGUCGAUCAUUGUUUUCUUUGACCUGGAGACCACUGGAUUAGAUCCAGGGUGUCAUAUCAUCCAGUUGUCUGCUGUCUGUGGAUAGAGAGAAUUUAACGCCUACAUCCUGCCCCGUCGCCCCAUCUCUCCAAGAGCCACAGAGCUGACAGGCCUUACCCAGAGCAGAGGCACACUGUAUCGCCACGGGACUCCUCUGGACACCGUCUUUCUUUAUGAUGCUCUCAAGGACUUCAUUA